UAGUUUAUCCUGCCAACAGCUGUCCAGCCAAACAACAAUGUUGCUGCAUCUGUAGAGGUGGCGGCGGCUGCAUCAAACAUGAGUACUGAAGAAGAGAAGCCUCAAAGCCACCCAGAGCAAUCUGAAGUCGGUG